rnacentral:rRNA from 1 species
CUGCAGCUCAAGUGGUGAUCGAUUUUAUUGAGCCUAAAGCGUCCGUAGCCGGACUAGUAAACCCUUGGGUAAAUUGGGCAGCUUAACUGUCCAAAUUCCGAGGGGACUGCUAGUCUUGGGACCGGGAGAGGCCAGAGGUACUCAAGGGGUAGGGGCUAAAUCCUGUAAUCCUUUGGGGACCACCAGUGGCGAAGGCGUCUGACUAGAACGGAUCCGACGGUAAGGGACGAAACCCUGGGGCGCGAACCGGAUUAGAUACCCGAGUAGUCC